rnacentral:rRNA from 1 species
CCUACGGGAGGCAGCAGUGGGGAAUCUUGCGCAAUGGGCGAAAGCCUGACGCAGCCAUGCCGCGUGAAUGAUGAAGGUCUUAGGAUUGUAAAAUUCUUUCACCGGGGACGAUAAUGACGGUACCCGGAGAAGAAGCCCCGGCUAACUUCGUGCCAGCAGCCGCGGUAAUACGAAGGGGGCUAGCGUUGCUCGGAAUUACUGGGCGUAAAGGGAGCGUAGGCGGAUAGUUUAGUCAGAGGUGAAAGCCCAGGGCUCAACCUUGGAAUUGCCUUUGAUACUGGCUAUCUUGAGUACGGAAGAGGUAUGUGGAACUCCGAGUGUAGAGGUGAAAUUCGUAGAUAUUCGGAAGAACACCAGUGGCGAAGGCGACAUACUGGUCCGUUACUGACGCUGAGGCUCGAAAGCGUGGGGAGCAAACAGGAUUAGAUACCCUGGUAGUCCACGCUGUAAACGAUGAGUGCUAGUUGUCGGCAUGCAUGCAUGUCGGUGACGCAGACUAACGACAUUAAGACACUCCGCCGUCGGGGAGGUACGGUACGCGAAGAAUUAAAACGUUAAAAGUAAAGUUAGUACGGACGUGAGACGUAGCCGAACGGACGACGACGAGGGAGUAGG